CUUUCACGACCGCGGUCGCGGUGCACCAGCCACGUGUACGUGUACUGGAGAAUUGCGAAAAUCCUUGCAACCACUUCCAAAUAUAGCGUUGCGCGCACUCCGUAUCUCCGUCACGGUGACUUCUCGUCUCGAACGGAAUCUCAACUCGAACGCGUGAUAUUUGCCACAAGUCGCGAAAGUCGUGAAAAAUUUGUACAAGUUUCGCGAGUUUGCUUCCUCUGCGGAAAAGGCGGCCAUGACACUUCGACUUAGCGCGACCCUUCUUACCGACACGGAUUAUUUUACCAACGCGCAUGCGCAGGCUUCAACGACUGCUAUUUAAUUGCAAUACGAGUUACGCGUCAAACUUUCACGCGGCUGACGUCAUUGGCAUAACGCCGAAACGAAGAGCCUUGAACGAGCCAAUGGAGAUUCCGGGCCCGAAGUUUCGUUAUCGCGCAUAAGUGCAUUCGUCAUCGAUCUAGUCAUAGUCUCUUCCACGAGAGUUCCACCUGGCCUACAUACUUGGACAAUUACGUAUUCGUUGCUGUCGUCGUUGCGAGUGUGGCGAGUGUCGUGGAUGAUUUCGAAAAUUCCCGUUAAUUAACGCGUACGAGAGGUAAACGCGAAUGUUAUGGAGACGAACGGCCUUCCAAUCCAAGCGAGUGAGCGUGUUCAUCGAGAAGCUUCGCGAACACAAUACCCGAUCGAUUGACCCGCAUUGCGUUACAAGGGCCAUGCACAGCUGGUCCUGAUGUUUACAGUCAUGUACUGUGUGCAUCGUAUAGCAUCGAAUCUGGGACAGAGAGAAAGAGAGAGAGAAAGAGAGAGAAAGGAUACCGGUAAAGCGAUAUCGCCGGACUAUAUCGACCGCGGUUGCUGUAAGUGGUUCGAGAGACACGAAUUCGCCCUUGGGAUUCCUGUGAGGCGUGGGUGAUCGGCUUUGUCGAGCGCCGAUCAGAGAACGGUUUAUUCCAUUCCUUUCUUUUGUCGACCAUUCGAGAUUUCGAGAUUUCGUUCUGUCUUUUUCUCAAGAGGAGGAAAAACAAAGUUUUUUUAAAGACGAUAAAGCUAAGUUGCAAGAAUCUUAAUACGAUAAUUACGUAUAAAGAAAAAAAUAACAUAAAAUUCAUCGAAUCGAUAUAUUUGUAUAUACACGAAUCUCGAAAUCUCGAAUAAUUAAUGCACAAUUAAUUAUAGAUCACGUAUAAUAAUCUAUAAUUGCAAAGACUAUCUCGUUUUCGCCUGAUCAUUCAUCUAAUUGCAACUCGAUCAAAAAAUCGAAUAAAUUCGACUCGAAUUAUCGAAAACCAAUUAAUUAUUCAAAUUUAUGUCGAAUGGUCGCGUAUUUUUUGGCAAAAAAUAAAUAAUGAGAUCACUUUGGGAUAAUUUCUAUUUAACGAUUCGUCUCGAAACGAGCCGAAAUGAUUAUCUUGCGACACGAUAGAAAAUGCGGGCAAGGUUAUUCCUUUUCCAAUGCACGCCACAAUGGAUACGCGGAACCACAAUGAUCGGAUGUAUGUACACGUAUGUAUAGCUCGAGAAGUAGCACACGUUCGAACAGGAUAGUUAGACCAAGAUACUUUCCAAUGAUUUCUGGAUACUGCGCACUCGAAGUAAUUUUAAAAGACGAGAGUAAGAAAGAAAGAAAAAUUAUAGGGGAGAAAAAAAAAAUCGAAAUCAAAAACAAGAUAUCUCUAUCUACGAUCAAAUAAUCGGGGAUAAGAAAAUUUGGUAUCGAUUUCAAGCAUUCGAAAUGAUUUUUUUUUCUCUUUUUUACCGAGAGAAUAAAUGAAAUGCCGGUCGAUCGGUAUCGUUGUUUGCGUCGUUCGCUCGAGUUGGCCGACCUUCACCCGGCUACCGUCGCCAUUAUGCUCGUUACACACCGGUCGUGGUUGUAAUUUACGGUUAACCGAACGGAAACCGAAGGGGAGCGACCGCGUUGUAGUAACGAGGUCGUCGUAUAUGCGAUAUUAACGAACAAGCUACUCACUUUUUCUCUUUCUAUUUCUCUUUUAUCAUCCGUACAAAUUCGCCCCUUGAUUUUAAAUUAUACAUUUUAAAUAUACGUAGCUGCACGUACACAAGCACGAUAAAGAUAGUGGCGAGAAAUGAAAUUGGCAAGAGAAGCUCUUUCAUCAAUCGAACCGACCGAAAUCGUUUCGAGAAAAAUCUUUUUCAAUUAAACGGCUCACGAAAAAGCUUGCGAUCUUAAAUCGAAAAACUGUUUCCUCUUAAGUAUACUUUUCGAACGCGAGGGAAUAUAUUCGAAAAAUGCGUCCGACGGUAGAAAAUCGUGACCUAUAGAUCAUCGUGAUCGCCCUUCUCCUCUCGUGCUCGACUCCCUGCUACUCCGUGUCGUAAUAUCUCGACAGCUAUACCUUCACCUUUCCUACCAGUUUUCUUGCAAAAAAAAAAAAAAACUCGCAGUCCUUCCCGACCUAUACAUCAUUCUAGGGAAAAGCGCCACGAGAUUUACUCGAUUCCUUAAAAAUAUAACGAAAAAUAAACACUCCUUUUUUUUUCAGAAUCAGAAAACGCGCGAAUCUAGAACAAAGAGAUCUCGCUUUUCUUUCCUCGCCGCGGCGAGUUAGAAAUCGAGUCUCGAAAUUUUUCUUUUUUUCCCCUACCAGACCGCGCGUAACGAUAUCUUUAUAUUAUUCGAAGGAAAGAGAGAGAGACAGGGAGCAUACACGGUUGGUAUUCGGGCCCUUUUGUAACGGGCACACGAGUAACACACAGCCUGUCUAAAUACGGUACCGGUAAAUAACGACGGCUGGAAUUUCUCGUUAUUUCUCAAGAGCUACGGCUACGGCCGUCUGGGUGGCUUCCACCGAGUUGUAGAACACGAUCCACGGGAAGAGAGUUAUCGAUCGGGAUGAGCGGGCAACGCGCCGCCGGGCGGACAAUGAUCACAGCGACCUUGAGAAGAAGGGAACGUUUGUUCGUUGAUGUUGGCGCGCGCGGCAUACCAUCGUAUUUUCUCACCCGUGAAGAUCGACCAGCUUUUUUCCUCGCUUAGAACGAGAGAGAGGGAGAUAGGGGAGGGAGCCGUGACGAUCCAAGCCGAGAUCGUUCCGCCGACCGUUCCGAUCGACCGACCCGAUAAAUAUAAUUAAGGAGACGGGAAGCUCGAGAACCCUCGACACGGAAUGCCACGACCGUUUUAUCAUUCGCUGAAUCUGUAUCGCCGAUAAUCGUUCCACACGGGGAUGUUAAUAAACGUUAAUGCCGCGUUAAAAAUUUCAAUUUCACCGAUCGCGAGUCGAACAGAUGGGACGAGCUAAUUAACGAUCGUUCGUUCCGUUUCUGGAAAUUCUUUUAACUUAAGGGACGGAAAAUCGAAGCUGUUGUUCGAACGUCUUUCGAAGAGCAUUGUUAUGCUAAGUGAAACGAGACACCGUCUCAUCACGGAGGGAAGCAGUAAUGGCAUGCCCGUUUCUGUCACGUUGCCUCGACUCCACUCCAACCAGAGCCAAGUCUCCAAACAGAGGAAGAGGGAUUCGACCGAAUCACCGCCAUUUCGUAUUUCACGCUCCAGAAGAAUCGCGUAGAAGAACAUAUUCAACCCCCUUCUCGAGCGGAAUACUUAAUUAAAACUCUACGAUAAAUUCUGCCUAUACGAUACAUUACAACGAAUUAUAUCCGAAUCUAACUUUAUUUUUUGUUUACAAUAAUCUAUAAACGAGGAUUUGGAUAUCGAUCAUUCGAGUGAAAGUUUCCAAUAAUUUCAUACAAAUCACAGUAUGCAUCACAGACGUUAAAAAUAUCGCGUAUAAGUUUGGACGUACUUCGAGGAUAUCGAAAUGGAUUAGGUAAAUGGUUGGUGCACUGGUACGACCCGCACGGGGACAAAGAUAGGCCGUAACGUACCUGCCUAUUAUAAGGGUAUAAAUAUCGAGUGGCAAGUGCAUAGCGGACGGUCUCUGCAUUCUCAGUCCGGCCACAAGCUAUUUUCAACCCACGCUAAACUCUCUCUCUCUCUCUUUCUCGCUCGCUCGCUCGCUCCGCACCGCGAUCCCCCCACUUCUCCCCGCGUAUUCUAAGACGCGACCCAUAAUACCAUAAAAAGCGUCCCUGCCCGCGCUCCGCCGCUGUCCCACGAGGCCACGAAAUAUCUUUCUGCCGUUUGAAUUUGUUCCUCCGUCCGAUCCGCUUGUUAAAACUCGAAUCGACAUGCCGCCCCUUAACCGUUUCCUUACCUAAACAACCUUCGCUCGUCUGUUUCCCUCCGCAGCUGGCUGGACAAUUGGCCACGAUGUAUCGAAAGUAUCCACGAAUCGUAUGAUAUUUCUAUUAGCCAUUCUCGUUUUUUCUUACACGUUUCAACGAGAUACGGUCGCGGCUCGUCGGCUACCCCGUUUUUCCACGCGCAAGAAAUUCGCUUAGCCUUCGACAAUGAGUCACGCCCGAGAAAUUUAUCCCUAUUCCAAAGUGCGAUGAUCAACAAAACGGGAUAUAAAAUAAACGGAGAAAGGUAUAAUGUACGGUGUCCAAGUGGACACAGAUUUUAGUUUUUGAAUUAUUACGAAUUAUUACGAAUUUAGAUGCAUCGUUAGGAAAUGUUAUUACGAUUGAAGAUUGCCUAAUAAAUAUUGCGAUACUUUUAAAAAAUUAUUUCUACUCUCAAAUAUUAUUCUCGAAUAAACAACAAACUUUGGAAUUCCUUUUAAUCGCGGAUAAAUAUUUUAUUUCUCCGUCCAGAAGAGAAAAGAGCAUUUCGCAAUGCUCGAAACGAAACUCGAGGAAUUUAACGAAAAAUCUUAGAAAGCGUCGUGUCGAAAAUAAAAUACACGCGCGGGGGGGAGGGGUAAAUUAUCGAUUACGCGUGCAAAAUCUCUUUAAUCGGCGAGACGAAUAUCGUUUCAACCUAUUUACAUUGGCGAGUGUAUACACCCUGUACGCCGAUCACAGUCAUAAUCAUAAUAUUUAUACCGAGGCCCCCCCCUUUCUUGCGAAAGUUUAUGGCGUCGCUCUGGUGAUUCGUGACCCGAGAUUCUCGAAUAAUGUACCUACACGAUCAAAGAUCCAGCUCUCCUUGUCGUUGUCCAACGAGUUUUUCCUUCUGACGCGUUCGUCAAAACGAAAAGAGAAAAAAUGGAAAAAACGAAUCCGAAUAAUUGAUCGUUCCGUUCUGCGUGUACGAUUUUCUCCGCGAUUCUUACGUAAUCGUAAAAAAACUUUUUCAAGGAAUCGCCACGGUUUGUUUGCAUUCCUUUCCUUAACACAACACGAGUACGAGUUUAUAUCGCGGUUUCGCGUGCAUUCACGAGCUGGUCAAACAAUUUGAAAAGGAUCGUUUCCUCGAAUCACAAAUUAAUAUCAAUUCUUGGGGCGCGCGCGAGAGAGAAAAAAAAAGAGAGAGAGAAGAAAGAAAAGAAUCACGAAAGAUGGACAGCCGUUUUUUUUUUUUUUUAAAUUGGAAACUGAAGCGAGGCGCGCAUCAUCGAUUCGCAAUUUAUCAUUCGAUCGAAACGAGACGAGUGAAUUCAUCCGUUUUACAAUGUCCCCCAGGAGGAAAGUCUUUUGUUCUUUAAUGGAGGUAAAGUAAAUUGGAUAGCAAUAGAGUUAAUGUUUUAAUAGCCUGGGCAAUAAAAACUAAUGUUUGGAAAUUGAUACUUCUGGUAAUAUUAGCAGGUAGAAACAAACAACGGGAGGCUAAAACGGGACGGGAGAUUUCAGAUAUUUAAACAUUUAAUCCUUUGUCAAAAAGAAAACUUUUCUAACUAACUCUUUGUAUAUUGUAAUCCUUUCUUUUAUAUUUUUCCCAACUAAGGACAAUUGCAAUAAUAUUUCAUGACACAGUUACAUGGCGUAUUUUCAAUAUACCAAAAAAAAAAAAAUAAAAUAAAAUAA